rnacentral:rRNA from 1 species
AUGAGCCUGCUUGUUGAGACAAUCAAGAGGACAGCUGCAGAUCAGAAGAGGUCAUGUGGGUAUGCUCCACACAUUCAAAUGCUCAUCAACUCCAAGAUGGGCACAGGCACUUAUCUUUUGGACAAGGAACAUCUACCUUUGAGACCAGAUUUUGAGGACAACACUGUUGUCAUGAAUGAAGAUGAUCCCACAUCCGUAGAGGCACAAGAAAAGAGAGAGAAAACUAAGGCAGAGAAAGUUGCAAAGAUGCCAAGUGCUGAAGAGGCAUCUCAAGUGUUUCUAAACACUAAGCAAGAUCAACUUGGAUAUCUGAUUCAAGCCACCUUGAGGAUUGAGAAGGGCUUGGCCACCCUGACUCAGAACCAAGAGAGCCUGGAAAGGAUCAUUGAGACUAAAUUUUAUGAUCUUGAUUUAAAGGUGGCAGAGAUGCAGACAGCAGUUGAGCAGCUCCAGGAAGAAGCUGAGAAGAGGAAAGGGCAGGCUACCACAGAUGCCUUUCAGAGAGUGCCAAGAGGGCAGAGAUCUGCUGCAGUGCCCAUGGCUGACACAAGAGCAACUACAUCAGCACCUGCAGCCACAGCAUCAGUGCCACCUCCAGUUGCUACUCCACCAGCUCCAACAACUUCCACAUAUGCAUUCAUCCUUGGAGCCCUCUCAACGCCUCCUCCCGAAGAUCAAGCCUAG